rnacentral:tRNA from 1 species
GUAAGUAUAGUUUAAUUAAAACGUUAGAUUGUGAUUCUAAAAACGAGGGUUAAAGCCCCUUUACUCACC